AACUUUCGACAACGGAUCUCUUGGCUCUGGCAUCGAUGAAGAACGCAGCGAAAUGCGAUACGUAGUGUGAAUUGCAGAAUUCAGUGAACCAUCGAAUCUUUGAACGCACCUUGCGGCCGCCGGGAAUCCGGCGGCCAUGCCCGUCCGAGCGUCGUUUCGACCCUCGGGGCCCCCCUUCCCGCUCGCGGGCUGGGGUCGCCCCGGCAUUGGGCUAGCGCAGAUUCGCCCUCCGGGGCGCCGCGCGGCCCGCAGUCCAGCGGCGGCAGCACCGGCGAACACCCCUGCGCAGUAUCAACGCUCGCAUCGGCCUCCCGGCGCAGCCCGCCUCGAAACCCCUUAUUAUUUAUGUCGACCUCGGAUCGGGUAGGGAUACCCGCUAAACUUAAGCAUAUCAAUAAGCGGAGGCU
rnacentral:misc_RNA from 1 species